UACAGGGGGUGCAAACGUUGCUCGGAAUCAUUGGGCGUAAAGCGCACGUAGGCGGUCUGUUAUGUCGGAUGUGAAAGCCCUUGGCUCAACUGAGGAAGUGCAUCCGAAACUGGCAGGCUAGAGUACUAAAGAGGAUCGCGGAAUUCCCGGUGUAGAGGUGAAAUUCGUAGAUAUCGAGAGGAACACCGGUGGCGAAGGCGGCGAUCUGGGUAGAUACUGACGCUGAGGUGCGAAAGCGUGGGGAGCAAACAGG
rnacentral:rRNA from 1 species